GGAAUAUUGGACAAUGGGCGCAAGCCUGAUCCAGCCAUGCCGCGUGAGUGAAGAAGGCCUUAGGGUUGUAAAGCUCUUUCAGCGGGGAAGAUAAUGACGGUACCCGCCGAAGAAGCCCCGGCUAACCUCGUUCCAGCAGCCGCGGUAAUACGAAGGGGGCUAGCGUUGUUCGGAUUUACUGGGCGUAAAGCGCGCGUAGGCGGGUCGUUAAGUCAGAGGUGAAAUGCCGAGGCUCAACCUCGGAACUGCCUUUGAUACUGGCGACCUGGAGUUCGGGAGAGGUGAGUGGAAUUCCGAGUGUAGAGGUGAAAUUCGUAGAUAUUCGGAGGAACACCAGUGGCGAAGGCGGCUCACUGGCUCGAUACUGACGCUGAGGUGCGAAAGCGUGGGGAGCAAAC
rnacentral:rRNA from 1 species